UCAGUCCCUGAUUAGAGGGGAAUCACCCACCUGGUGUCCCAGGUCUAAAUCAGUCCCUGAUUAGAGGGGAAUCACCCUCCUGGUGUCCCAGGUCUAAAUCAGUCCCUGAUUAGAGGGGAAUCACCCACCUGGUGUCCCAGGUCUAAAUCAGUCCCUGAUUAGAGGGGAAU